rnacentral:tRNA from 1 species
GGUGGCUCAGUGGUAGAGUGCUUGUAUUGCAUGCAUGAGGCCCUGGGUUCGAUUCCUCAGCACCA